rnacentral:rRNA from 1 species
AUUGCCCUAGUAACGGCGAGUGAAGCGGCAACAGCUCAAAUUUGAAAUCUGGCUUCGGCCCGAGUUGUAAUUUGCAGAGGAUGUUUCUGGCGCGGUGCCUUCCGAGUUCCCUGGAACGGGACGCCACAGAGGGUGAGAGCCCCGUAUGGUCGGACACCAAGCCUGUGUGAAACUCCUUCGACGAGUCGAGUAGUUUGGGAAUGCUGCUCUAAAUGGGAGGUAAAUCUCUUCUAAAGCUAAAUACCGGCCAGAGACCGAUAGCGCACAAGUAGAGUGAUCGAAAGAUGAAAAGCACCUUGAAAAGGGGGUUAAAUAGUACGUGAAAUUGUUGAAAGGGAAGCAUUUAUGACCAGACUUGGGCCGGGCGGCUCAUCAGGGGUUCUCCCCUGUGCAUUCCGCCCGGCACAGGCCAGCAUCGGUUUUCGCGGGGGGAUAAGACCGUCAGGAACGUAGCACCCUCCGGGGUGUGUUAUAGCCUGGCGGACGAUACUCCCGCGGGGACCGAGGUCCGCGCUCCGCAAGGAUGCUGGCGUAAUGGUCAUCAGUGACCCGUCUUGAAACACGGACCAAGGAGUCGUCCAUUAGAGCGAGCGUUUGGGUGUAAAACCCGCACGCGUAAUGAAAGUGAACGCAGGUGAGAGCUUCGGCGCAUCAUCGACCGAUCCUGAUGUUCUCGGAAGGAUUUGAGUAAGAGUUUUAACGGACGGACCCGAAAGACAGUGAACUAUGCUUGUAUAGGGUGAAGCCAGAGGAAACUCUGGUGGAGGCUCGCAGCGGUUCUGACGUGCAAAUCGAUCGUCAAAUAUGAGCAUGGGGGCGAAAGACUAAUCGAACUGUCUAGUA